CCCUACUUGCUAGUUACCAUCAUUAAGUUGGGGACUCUAGCGAGACUGCCAGUGAUAAACUGGAGGAAGGUGGGGAGUGACGUCAAAUCAUCAUGCCCCUUAUGACCUGGGCUACAAACGUGAUACAAUGGCUGGAACAAAGGGAUGCGAAGCAGUGAUGUGGAGCGAAACCCAUAAAAACAGUCUCAGUUCGGAUUGAAGUCUGCAACUCGACUUCAUGAAGUCGGAAUCGCUAGUAAUCGCGGAUCAGAACGCCGCGGUGAAUACGUUCUCGGGGUUU
rnacentral:rRNA from 1 species